rnacentral:sRNA from 1 species
AUUAGAUCAGUGUUCAUAAGAACAUCUGUAGGCACACAUACACACUCUCUUUAUAGUCAGCCUUCUGCUUGCCACAGUCAUAGUGGGCAGUCAGUGAAUCUUCCCCAAGUGCUGACAAUUAAUACCUGGUUUAGCGGCAAAGAUUCAGAGAGGCGUGAGCAGCCCCUCUGGCCUUCAGAAUGAAGAUGAAAAGAAGAUGUGUUUAGGAACCUUCUCUGCUUCCCUAAAAGAACACUAAAAACAGUAGUAAAAACAGUGAAGAAAACAAAGGACCUUUAAAGUGCACUCGUUAAAACCUAAUAACUGUAUUUCUAUUACUAAAUGUAGAAGUGGUAAAAAUCUUUAACAGGCAAUGUCUCCCCUGCAUUCUAGGGAUUCAAAGAUCCAUCUUUCGGUUCUGUAAGACAGUCACGGCUUUUGUAACCUCGGUGCCCCCUUCAACCUCCCGCCCCAAGCACCUCCAGGGUCGUCAGGGAUGUAGUUUUGAGUCGCGCUCCUAAGCAUCCAGACAGGCAGGACACCGUAACGACAUCUCUGCCGGGAGUCCCUUCAGACUGCGGUCUCCAGGUAACCGCACUCCAACAGAAGCAGUUGUGCUUCCUAUCGGGUCACCUGUUCAAAAGUCCCCAGGAG